ensembl:lncRNA
AAGCCGUCAGGGAAGAACCAGCAGACAUCACAUAGGAUGACGAGGCAAGAGACAGAAUGAGAAGAGCUGACUCAAGAAGGCGUCGAGGGAGAAAGAAGAGACGGCGUGGCAAGAGGAUCGGACGCUUCGAGGUCAAGAGUGGAACGGCGUGGCAACACACGGAGCAAGAGGAUCAGCAGCUUCGGGGUCAAGAGUGGAACGGCGUGGCAAGACAACGGAGCAAGAGGAUCAGCAGCUUCGUGGUCAAGAAGAGGUGGCACGAGGGACACUCUGGGCAUAGCAUCCCUGGUAUUUCCAGGGCGCAGAUUCCUAAGAGUCUGCUGGGCACCUUCACGGUGCCCUGUUUUGUGCUGGGCGACCUCCCUGUAACCAGGGCUGGGUCUUUGCGUUGCAGCCGUUGGCCUUUUGCCAUUGGGCUGCUUUGGCUGGCCAGAGAGAGAGGCAGCCCUGUAAGGAGGGUGAGAGCCCCGGUCUCUGCCGCCAAGGGGGGAAGUGGAGCACCCCCAGGCCGCCCUGUAAGCGGGGCUGGGCCUUUUCCCCUGGUCCGUGGCUUUGUGCCCCUGGCCAGCGUGUGAGCCCUGUACUCGGGGCGUGUCACAGCCUGCUGUGCCUUGGCCUCCCCUGAAUCCUCUGCGCGGGUUUAGGCCCUUGUGGCCUCCCUGCAGCCGCCCCCUGCCCGGGACAGGCCUGAAGCUCUUGGUCUCCUGUUCAGCGGCAGGCAGGCCCCCUGGUCUGUGCACAGAGCUCGCUCCCUCUCCUGGCCCCUUGUCCUUCCUCGUGUGUUGCCCUGUCCACCUCAGUGUGAGUGAGGCGGUGUGAGUGUCCCUUUGUCCCCGUUAGAAACUGAGCAGAGUAGCUUAGGCUUCCCAGGAGAGGAAGAGGAGCUCUGUGACUCAGCCAGGGGUGCCCUGUCACAGCGCGGGCAGAGACAGAGCACGGCCUGGCCCUUUGCUCCUGAGGACAGAGCGAUGCCACUUAGUGGCGGCACGGGCUGCGGGCCCCGCCUGUAGCCAGGCCUGGGGCUGUGCCCGUGCUGCGGGGCUGCCUGUCCUGUCCUGCUGGUGACCUGCCAGCGUGCCUGGCCUGCCCUCGCAGCAGGCAGCAGCUCCAGCCCCCUGUAAGCAGGGGUGCAGCCUCUUUGGCAGCUGCUUUGCGAGCCCAGCUUGGUUUGCCCAGAGGACCUCGCUGCCACUGUCACCAGUGCCAGACCUGCGGCCAACGAUGAGGUGAGACCGCCUGGACUUGCAGGCUUUGCUGCUGGUGGGGUUGGUUGGGAGAGAGAUUUUUCCAUUUGGAAAUUUCUAAUUUCUUUCUGCCCAAGAAUUUCCUAUGGUGUUUAUGGGUGUCAUGGUUUUGACAAUUGUAUUUCUUUUUGCCCCCUCCUUUAGUGUGUUUGCUCAUAUUUAGAGUGAUUGUUUUGGUCUUGUCUCUCAACUUGUUUUUUGUUUUUUACGUCAUAAAACCUCUGUAUCUCAGUGUUAACAAAAUCCUUUUUCUUUUUUCUUCCAGGAACACCAGCUUUGAUUUCUUUUCCUUCAAUAAAAUACCUUUUUUGUGUCUGGUGUGGUGUUUU